UACAGAGGGUGCAAGCGUUAAUCGGAAUUACUGGGCGUAAAGAGCACGUAGGUGGUUGGAUAAGUCAGAUGUGAAAUCCCCGGGCUUAACCUGGGAACUGCAUUUGAGACUGUUCAGCUAGAGUUUAGUAGAGGGAAGUGGAAUUCCACAUGUAGCGGUGAAAUGCGUAGAGAUCGGGAGGAACAUCCGUGGCGAAGGCGGCCAUCUGGACCAGCACUGACACUGAGGCACGAAAGCGUGGGGAGCAAACAGG
rnacentral:rRNA from 1 species